UCAGGCGGGACUACCCGCUGAGUUUUAAGCAUA
rnacentral:rRNA from 1 species